AUUGAACGCUGGCGGCAUGCCUUACACAUGCAAGUCGAACGGUAACAGGUUAAGCUGACGAGUGGCGAACGGGUGAGUAAUGUAUCGGAACGUGCCCAGUCGUGGGGGAUAACUGCUCGAAAGAGCAGCUAAUACCGCAUACGACCUGAGGGUGAAAGCGGGGGAUCGCAAGACCUCGCGCGAUUGGAGCGGCCGCUAUCAGAUUAGGUAGUUGGUGAGGUAAAGGCUCACCAAGCCGACGAUCUGUAGCUGGUCUGAGAGGACGACCAGCCACACUGGGACUGAGACACGGCCCAGACUCCUACGGGCGGCAGCAGUGGGGAAUUUUGGACAAUGGGCGCAAGCCUGAUCCAGCCAUGCCGCGUGCGGGAAGAAGGCCUUCGGGUUGUAAACCGCUUUUGUCAGGGAAGAAAAGGUUCUGGCUAAUACCUGGGACUCAUGACGGUACCUGAAGAAUAAGCACCGGCUAACUACGUG
rnacentral:rRNA from 1 species